rnacentral:rRNA from 1 species
UACGGAGGGUGCGAGCGUUGUCCGGAAUCAUUGGGCGUAAAGGGCGCGUAGGUGGCCCGGUCAGUCCGUGGUGAAAGCGCGGGGCUCAACCCUGCGUCGGCCAUGGAUACUGCCGCGGCUCGAGCACUGUAGAGGCAGGCGGAAUUCCGGGUGUAGCGGUGGAAUGCGUAGAGAUCCGGAAGAACACCGGUGGCGAAGGCGGCCUGCUGGGCUGUUGCUGACGCUGAGGCGCGACAGCGUGGGGAGCAAACAGG